UACGUAGGUUGCAAGCGUUGUCCGGAUUUACUGGGCGUAAAGAGCGCGCAGGCGGUCGUUCAAGUCGCGUGUGAAAGCCCCCGGCUCAACUGGGGAGGGUCACGCGAUACUGAUCGACUGGAAGGCAGGAGAGGGUAGUGGAAUUCCCGGUGUAGUGGUGAAAUUCGUAGAUAUUGGGAAGAACACCGGUGGCGAAGGCGGCGACCUGGUCCUUGACUGACGCUGAGGCGCGAAAGCGUGGGGAGCAAACAGG
rnacentral:rRNA from 1 species